rnacentral:lncRNA from 1 species
UUGGAGCGAUUGAAUGAAAGACACACUCUUCUACUUGCUCUUCUGGAAACCCCCGAAAGUUGAUGCUACUGAUCCGAACAAUCGGGCGCGACUCUCUAUCACUGGACUUCUUACGAGUACUCUGUAACCAAAGCAAAGAUGAAGCUACAUCACACUGAGAGGUAUCUUGGAAGCCUGCAAGCUAUACCAAACACGAUGAAGACUACAAAAAGCCAAACACUUGUCACCAUGAGAGCUUUCCAAGUAUGUCUCUAUCUCUUUGGGUUUGCAUAAGAGAUACUGGAAUUUCA